rnacentral:misc_RNA from 1 species
UGUUGUCUGACGACGACAUUGAAAUUGAACGACGUAUUACGAUGGACGGCGUUCUCAUUGAUCGCCGACCGGAGUACGUCGAUGGAACGGGACUCUUCUAGAGGACCGAGCGCCUCCCGCCGUGUACGGCUUCGUGCUCUACCGGCGGGAAAAUAUGGAACGGGACUCUUCUCGAGGACCGAGCGCCUCCCGCCGCGUACGGCUUCGUGCUGUAUCGGCGGGAAAAUAUGGAACGGGAUUCAUACGGGCACAUAGCCCCGAAGACCGAGCGCUUCGACGGAGAGAUUUUAUUAUUUCUCUGUCGCUAUAUGCACAUCUGUUCUGUGUGGGAACGGUGUCGCACACUGCUACGUAUCAUCCGAUGCGUGAGCGAAUAGUGGAGCUUCGCUUAGUUGCGUUCUCUCAAAUGAUUCCAGACGCGCGGGAUCGUAUCCGUCUAGUCCUAGUACUGUUUUCGUAACGGGAAAGGUACACCGACGGUACGACGCAAACAACCCCGCGUCGUUUGCUACGUAUCAUCCCGAUGCGUGAGCGAAAUAGUGGGAGCUUCGCUUAGUUGCGUUCUCUUAAAAUGAUAUGAAGCGCGCGAACAUCGUUCGUGUCUCGCCGAGUACCAGCGCUAUGGGAAAAUCGUGACUCGCCUAGUACCGUAAAGGGAAAAUCGUAUCGCGGCCAGUACUGUAUGUUGGGAAAAUCUUGACAGUUCGCUGUUAUAACCAGCGCGUGAUGGGCAUAGCUUCCGUUGACGGUUGCGUCGCCAAAAAUCUGCAAAUAUUCCGAGUCACACGGGACUCCGCUCAUUGCGGAUCCCGGGCGGAUGGUUCGUCUGUCGAACCUCAGCUACAGGCCGUGAUCGCGGGCAUCCUGUUAGCGAAAGUGAACGUUCUCGCUUGAUUGCGACGUUUCAAAUAAAACGGCCGUUACUCGCAACGAUUAAUUUCGUUCGGGUAGGCAAACAUGUCCCCCAGACCUCGAAAGUCUUCGGGAAACCAGACAGCACGGCAUCCGUUUCGGCUACGUGAUUCACGCAAUCACACGGAUUAUUUGAUCCACACUAUAUCUCCAAUGUUGGAAUAUACGAGACCGAGCGUCUCGAGCCUGAGGCUUCGGCCGACGGUGUACUAAUUGUAACUGCGCAAUCGUACAUAUAAUUCGAGCUCGGAGGGUCUCCUCGCGGGACCGUCCGACCGAGACUUGUACAAAUUAUAA